UUAGCGGCGAAUGGGUGAGUAACACGUACUCAACGUACCUUUUAGAUUGGGAUAGCAAGUGGAAACAUUUGAUAAUACCGAAUAUGUAUAUUUUUCGCAUGAAAUUUAUAUGAAAGAAGCCUUUAAGCUUCGCUAAAAGAGCGGGGUGCGUAACAUUAGCUAGUUGGUGAGGUAACGGCCCACCAAGGCAAUGAUGUUUAGCGGGGUUGAGAGACUGAACCGCCACACUGGGACUGAGAUACGGCCCAGACUCCUACGGGAGGCAGCAGUAGGGAAUAUUCCACAAUGGACGAAAGUCUGAUGGAGCGACACAGCGUGCAGGAUGAAGGCCUUAUGGGUUGUAAACUGCUGUGGUAA
rnacentral:rRNA from 1 species